rnacentral:lncRNA from 1 species
CAUUACUCUAAAAAUGGAUAAUUAAAGCAAAAGAAUUAGCAUUCAUCUUGAUUUUCCUAUGUGAAUGUAUUUCAGGGGAACCAAAGAGCUUGAACGGAUGAAGGUAAACUCUUCUUAACAGAAUUGUUCCAGCUAAUAAAGGCCUGAUGGAUGGUCUGCAGGAGCACCUCCACCAGCCCCAUGUGCCCACCUGGCCCUGGGGGCUCAGCCUGCUUCUGGUGGCUCUGGGGAUGAGUCUUGGACAAUAGUCCAAGUAUCAUGUGUCUCCUUUCAAGUGGUUUCCUGGCCUCGUUCCUCUCCUGGGAACCUCUCAAGGUCCUGCUGGAAGCCCUGUACUUCUCAUUGGUAGCCAAGCAGCUGCAUCCCAGUGAAGGUGACACACUGGGAGAAAGACUGGCUGUGACAACCGUAAGACUGUGCCCUGCAUCUGACCCCCACAUGGCUUUGCAUCUUUCCUGGGAAAGGAGGAAGCCUGCAAGCCAAGAGGCUGCCCAGGAUGCUGAGGUGACCCUGAACCUCCUACUACCUCAAGCGGGAGUUUUACAGUCCUCCGCUGCACACCUUCCUAAUGAAGAGUCUUCGCAGCUAUUUCUGAUCAUUCCUGAAUGGGUACCUCAUGUGUGCAUAUGAACCAGUCUGUUGGCCGUACUGUGUUUGCCUCUACCAUCCCUCUCUGCUUUGGAUUGCGCCUGCUGACAAGCGAUGCUUGCAAAGCUACUUGAAGGAGUAUCACUGUGGCUUCCACGGCUUUAUUUUACACUCUAGGUAACGUUGCAUUCAGAAACCUGAUGCUAACAAAGCUGGUGAUCCUCAGGGUACCACUAUUGUGCUAGAUUUCAGGGAGAGGUCUGGAGAAUACUCUCUCCAAAACUAUGCUGCACUUUUGCACUGGAGUCCUGUAUCAGCAUUGUUUGUGCCAUAGUACACAAAAGUAUAUUGUCCACACUAACAGCCUCUGAGGUCUAGCUCAGCCAGUCAAAAUUCCUUAUUGUAGAUUAUUAAAUCACGCAAUCAUACAACUGAGAGAUAAAGGGGAUGGCAAAGAUCUUCUACGUUAACCUUGUAUGUGAUGCCAAAUUCUCAUUUAUAUCAGUGCUUUUCAAACCUUAACAUAUAUCAGAGUCACCGGGAAGCCUUGUUAAAUUAUCAGUGUUUCUUCAGUGUGUAUCCGUUGACAAUGAAUUCUUCGCUUAUUUUAUCUGAAUAUGCUUAUAUUCCUGAAGGAUAUUUUCCCU